AUUGUUAUUUUCAAAGUCCUUUUCUUUUUUUUUUUUUUUUUUUUAACUGAGCGUGGUUUUGAAAACUCACGGCUAAAUUAAGGAUGUAAAAGUUUUGUCAUUUCUUUUGGAUUUUAUAGUAGGUUUUUUUUUUUUAAACAAAGCCUGUCUCACUUUGUCAGUAAAAGACACACAUCUGUAAUGUAUUAGUAACAGCAGUAGUAGUAGAUUUCACAAUAGUCACAGAAAUUAUUCCAAAGAAUUGAAGUCCUAUGGGUUUCUCCUGACUUAACUGAGAACUGUAGUCUCUCAUGUAUCUAGUAGGAGGCUGAGACAGAAGGAUUCCACAUUCAAGGCCUGCUUGGGUCCAAGAGUGAGUUCACAAUUAGAUCCUCUCUCAAAAUAAAAAAAAGUUAAAAAAAAAAAAAAAAGAUGGUGCCAGGCUGGGAUGUAACUCAGAAUACUUGUCUAGUGUGUGUGGGCACCAGAUUCAGUCUCACGUACUGCAAAAUAAAAAUAAAUUCAGUCUCCCACUUAUUUGUAGCCAUAGCUCUUAGCAAUGGCAAUAAAAGCACCAAAUUUGAAUGAUAAUUAUGUCUAAAAUAGAAAGAAAUUAGUUAAGGAUUAGCUAACCAUUUUGAAUAUUUACUUUCCACCAAAAUAAGCUUCACAGCAAAAAUUCCCAAACCCAGCCUAGACCAGAGACCCCAAAAUCCAGCCUAGGCCAGAGACCCCAAAACCCAGCCUAGGCCAGAGACCCCGAAACCCAGCCUAGGCCAGUGACCCCGAAACCCAGCCUAGGCCAGAGACCCCGAAACCCAGCCUAGGCCAGAGACCCCGAAAUCCAGCCUAGGCCAGAGACCCCAAAAUCCAGCCUAGGCCAGAGAUCCCGAAACCCAGCCUAGGCCAGUGACCCUGAAACCCAGCCUAGGCCAGACACCCUGAAACCCAGCCUAGGCCAGAGACCCCAAAACCCAGCCUUGGCCAGAGACCCCGAAACCCAGUCUAGGCCAGAGACCCCGAAACCCAGCUUAGUCCAGAGAACCUGAACUCAGAAGUACACCUGCCUUGGCCUUCUGAGUGUUGGGAUAAAAGCUGAAAUACACCUGGCCUGGCCUGGCCAGGAUCUUUCUUUUUCUGUAAAACAAUUAAAAUAGAGCUUUAAUCCUGUGAGCCAGCUUUUAAAACAGGAUGCCAAUAAAAGACUAAGGAUAACCUUU
rnacentral:lncRNA from 1 species